ACAGCAGUCGCCACGGGAAUACGAGGGGGGCAAGCGUUGUUCGGAAUUACUGGGCGUAAAGCGCACGCAGGCGGUUUGUUAAGUCAGAUGUGAAAUCCCCGAGCUUAACUUGGGAACUGCAUUUGAAACUGGCAAGCUAGAGUCUUGUAGAGGGGGGUAGAAUUCCAGGUGUAGCGGUGAAAUGCGUAGAGAUCUGGAGGAAUACCGGUGGCGAAGGCGGCCCCCUGGACAAAGACUGACGCUCAGGUGCGAAAGCGUGGGGAGCAAACAGGAUUAGAUACCCCGGUAGUCCCUGUCUCUUAUAC
rnacentral:rRNA from 1 species